rnacentral:rRNA from 1 species
AGUGAACGCUGGCGGCGUGCCUAAUACAUGCAAGUCGAACGCGAAAGUCCUUCGGGAUGAGUAAAGUGGCGCACGGGUGAGUAAUGCAUAAGAACAUGCCCUUAGAUGGGGAAUAACGUUUGGAAACGAACGCUAAUACCGCAUAGUCUCGAAAGAGUAAAGGUGGCGCCGCAAGGGCUACCGUCUAAGGAUUGGCUUAUGUCCCAUUAGCUAGUUGGCGGGGUAAUGGCCCACCAAGGCAACGAUGGGUAUGUGGUCUGAGAGGAUGAUCACACACACUGGAACUGAGACACGGUCCAGACGCCUACGGGAGGCAGCAGUAGGGAAUAUUGCACAAUGGGGGAAACCCUGAUGCAGCAACGCCGCGUGAGUGAAGAAGGCCUUCGGGUUGUAAAGCACUUUUGUCCGGAAAGAAAUGGCUCUGGUUAAUACCUGGGGUCGAUGACGGUACCGGAAGAAUAAGGACCGGCUAACUACGUGCCAGCCGCCGCGGUAACAC